GACCACUACCCCCCUGGGUUUCAGGUCUGACAAACAUAGGACAGUUACAAACAUGGGCCAGGUUAACAGACACACAUGAAGAGAAGCUGGGCGGCCAUGUUGGGGAUCAUGUUGACCACUACCCCCCUGGGCUUCAGGUCUGCAAACACAGUUACAAACAUGGGCCAGGUUAACAGACACACAUGAAGAGAAGCUGGGCGGCCAUGUUGGGGAUCAUGUUGACCACUACCCCCCUGGGUUUCAGGUCUGCAAACACAGUUACAAACAUGGGCCAGGUUAACAGACACACAUGAAGAGAAGCUGGGCGGCCAUGUUGGGGAUCAUGUUGACCACUACCCCCCUGGGUUUCAGGUCUGCAAACACAGUUACAAACAUGGGCCAGGUUAACAGACACACAUGAAGAGAAGCUGGGCGGCCAUGUUGGGGAUCAUGUUGACCACUACCCCCCUGGGUUUCAGGUCUGCAAACAUAGGACAGUUACAAACAUGGGCCAGGUUAACAGACACACAUGAAGAGAAGCUGGGCGGCCAUUUUGGGGAUCAUGUUGACCACUACCCCCCUGGGUUUCAGGUCUGCAAACAUAGGACAGUUACAAACAUGGGCCAGGUUAACGGACACACAUGAAGAGAAGCUGGGCGGCCAUGUUGGGGAUCAUGUUGACCACUACCCCCCUGGGUUUCAGGUCUG